AACGAACGCUGGCGGCAUGCCUAACACAUGCAAGUCGAACGAGACCUUCGGGUCUAGUGGCGCACGGGUGCGUAACGCGUGGGAACCUGCCCGUAGGUUCGGAAUAACUCAGAGAAAUUUGAGCUAAUACCGGAUAAUGUCUUCGGACCAAAGAUCUAUCGCCUUUGGAUGGGCCCGCGUAGGAUUAGCUUGUUGGUGGGGUAAUGGCCUACCAAGGCGACGAUCCUUAGCUGGUCUGAGAGGAUGAUCAGCCACGCUGGGACUGAGACACGGCCCAGACUCCUACGGGAGGCAGCAGUAGGGAAUAUUGGACAAUGGGCGAAAGCCUGAUCCAGCAAUGCCGCGUGAGUGAUGAAGGCCUUAGGGUUGUAAAGCUCUUUUACCAGGGAUGAUAAUGACAGUACCUGGAGAAUAAGCACCGGCUAACUCCGUG
rnacentral:rRNA from 1 species